AUUGAACGCUGGCGGCAUGCCUUACACAUGCAAGUCGAACGGCAGCACGGGAGCAAUCCUGGUGGCGAGUGGCGAACGGGUGAGUAAAGUAUCGGAACGUGCCCAGUCGUGGGGGAUAACGUAGCGAAAGUUACGCUAAUACCGCAUACGAUCUAUGGAUGAAAGCGGGGGAUCGCCAGACCUUGCGCGAUUGGAGCGGCCGAUAUCAGAUUAGGUAGUUGGUGGGGUAAAGGCUCACCAAGCCGACGAUCUGUAGCUGGUCUGAGAGGACGACCAGCCACACUGGGACUGAGACACGGCCCAGACUCCUACGGGAGGCAGCAGUGGGGAAUUUUGGACAAUGGGCGCAAGCCUGAUCCAGCCAUGCCGCGUGCAGGAUGAAGGCCUUCGGGUUGUAAACUGCUUUUGUACGGAACGAAAAGGUUUGGCCUAAUACGCUGAACUCAUGACGGUACCGUAAGAAUAAGCACCGGCUAACUACGUGCCAGCAGCCGCCGUAAUAC
rnacentral:rRNA from 1 species